rnacentral:pre_miRNA from 1 species
UUUGUACUCCCUCUGUCCCAAAAUUCUUGUCUUAAAUUUUUCUAAAUAUGGAUGUAUCUAGUUACAUUUUAGUGUUAGAUACAUCUGUAUCUAAACAAAUGUAAGACAAGAAUUUUGGGACGGAGGGAAUACUAC